rnacentral:siRNA from 1 species
UCUCGGGUUAUCCAAACAGCA